GUUUAAUCUUAAUUUAGUGUGUUGUAUUAAAUAAAUUAAAAAAAUUUUAAAAUGGAGCUGGAUUCUAAACAAAGGUAAUCAGAAUAUUUGUGGCGCAAAGAGGUGACUACAAACUUUUAAUGACUUUCAUCAGCAAAAUUCAAGUACAGUGCCGUAAG